rnacentral:rRNA from 1 species
AAUGAACGUUGGCGGCAUGGAUUAGGCAUGCAAGUCGAGCGAGAAGUGUAGCAAUACACGGAAAGCGGCGGAAGGGAGAGUAAUACGUGGGAAUCUGCCCUUAGACCUGGGAUAGCAGCGGGAAACUGCUGGUAAUACCAGAUAAUGUCUAUGGACCAAAGGUGUGAUUCCGUCUAGGGAUGAGCCCACGUCCUAUUAGCUAGUUGGUAGGGUAAUGGCCUACCAAGGCGAUGAUGGGUAGCGGGUGUGAGAGCAUGACCCGCCUCACUGGGACUGGGACACUGCCCAGACACCUACGGGUGGCUGCAGUCGAGAAUCUUCGGCAAUGGGCGCAAGCCUGACCGAGCGAUGCCGCGUGCGGGAUGAAGGCCUUCGGGUUGUAAACCGCUGUCGAGGGGGAGCAACUUCCAUAGAGUUAUCUUUAUGGAUUGAGUGAUCCCUGGAGGAAGGACGGGCUAAGUUCGCGCCAGCAGCCGCUGUAAUAC